rnacentral:rRNA from 1 species
AGAACGAACGCUGGCGGCGUGGAUAAGACAUGCAAGUCGAACGCGACUUAUCGAGUUAGCAAUAACUUGGUGAGUUGAGUGGCGAAAGGGUGCGUAACACGUGGGAAUUUACCAAGAAGUGGGGGAUAGCUCGACGAAAGUCGAAUUAAUACCGCAUGUGAUCGCAAAGAUCAAAGCCGGGGACCGCAAGGCCUGGCGCUUUUUGAGAAGCCCGCGGCCCAUCAGCUAGUUGGUGAGGUAAAAGCUCACCAAGGCUAUGACGGGUAGCUGGUCUGAGAGGACGACCAGCCACACUGGAACUGAGACACGGUCCAGACACCUACGGGUGGCAGCAGUCGAGAAUUUUUCACAAUGGGGGAAACCCUGAUGGAGCGACGCCGCGUGGAGGAUGAAGGUUUUCGGAUUGUAAACUCCUGUCACUGCAGAACAAGGGUGUGCUCGUUAAUAGCGAGCGC